ACGGAAGGCAGCAGUGAGGAAUAUUGGUCAAUGGACGAGAGUCUGAACCAGCCAAGUAGCGUGCAGGAUGACGGCCCUAUGGGUUGUAAACUGCUUUUGUACGGGAAUAAGGUGACCUACGUGUAGGUUUUUGCAUGUACCGUAAGAAUAAGGACCGGCUAAUUCCGUGCCAGCAGCCGCGGUAAUACGGGAGGUCCGGGCGUUAUCCGGAUUUAUUGGGUUUAAAGGGAGCGUAGGCCGUGCUUUAAGCGUGUUGUGAAAUGUAGGCGCCCAACGUCUGCACUGCAGCGCGAACUGGAGUGCUUGAGUACGCAGGAAGUAGGCGGAAUUCGUCGUGUAGCGGUGAAAUGCUUAGAUAUGACGAAGAACUCCGAUUGGGAAGCCAGCUUACUGUAGCGCCACUGACGCUGAUGCUCGAAAGCGUGGGUAUCGAACAGGAUUAGAUACCCUGGUA
rnacentral:rRNA from 1 species